AUAUUUACGAACGCAAAGUUGCUAGGAGUUGGUACCAGCGUUUGGGAGGUAGAGGUGGCGCUCAUGCGUAUUUGAGACAACAUCUGGAUGGUUGGGGAGAACGGUGAUGCCACACUCAAUCAGAAACUAUGCUACUGUUGAAGAGGCAUAUUGAGCUCUGCCUGGUUAACCUCCAGUGAGGUUGUUAGAGAAUUGGGAGAGGCUCAAAUCAGCAUCCUGCACCUAGUUAUCAAACAAUUGUGAAGUCUUGAUUCCUGGAUGGCCAGAAAACUUGUCAUUGGUCAAGAGCAACAUUAAGAUCUGCCUGUUACUCAUACAGAUGCUUCUUGCGCAGCAAGUUCAUCAGAGGGCGAGGAUGAAUUACGGUUGCUAUGAAUGUCCUUGUGAGGCAGUUGGGAAGCCUUGGCUGGAUUGUGAAGGAUAUUUGAAAAGUAUUUUAGACUCCACCAGAUCAUCCAUGUGAGUGACCAUGCAGCAAAAGAAGGAGGGUCCUCUCAGUGAUUAAGGAUUAUGAAGUAUUAAUUCUUCCACUGAUAUCUCAAAAGGUGAUCUGGACAAAGG
rnacentral:lncRNA from 1 species